rnacentral:rRNA from 1 species
AUGGCUCGGCCGCUGCUGGCAGUGGUCGCCAUGGUGCUCGUGCUGGCCGCCGCUGGCGCCCAUGGCUUCCGGAUCGAGGAGGCGAGCGUGGCCAGCAUCCAGCUCGGCUUCAACAACGGCAGCCUCACCUCCGUGGACCUCGUCCGGUUCUACCUGGACCGCAUCCGCGGCCUCAACCCGCUCCUCCGCCCCGUCAUCGAGGACAACAUCGCCACCCGCGACGCGCUCAACACCACGGCCAGGUCGUUCGCCCUCCUCGGCUCCGUGGCCAGGCGGGACGCCGGCGUGGUGCGCAGGCUUCGGCGGGCCGGCGCCGUGGUGCUCGGCAAGACCAACAUGGACGAGUGGGCCAACUUCCGCAGCCUCGCCGGCAUCGAUGGCUGGAGCGCACGCGGCGGCCAGGCCCGGGCAGGUGGAGGGGAAGGAGAACGAGGGACGGGAUUGCUUUUUUAA